CAUGCAAGUCGAGGGGUAACGUGAGUGCUUGCACUUGACGACGACCGGCGCACGGGUGCGGAACGCGUAUGGAACCUACCUUUAUCAGGGGGAUAGCCCAUGGAAACGUGGAUUAAUACCCCAUAGUAUUAUUUCAUUGCAUGAUGAUAUAAUUAAAGAAUUUCGGAUAGAGAUGGCCAUGCGUAUCAUUAGCUAGUAGGCGAGGUAACGGCUCACCUAGGCGACGAUGAUUAGGGGUCCUGAGAGGGAGAUCCCCCACACUGGUACUGAGACACGGACCAGACUCCUACGGGAGGCAGCAGUGAGGAAUAUUGGGCAAUGGAGGCAACUCUGACCCAGCCAUGCCGCGUGCAGGAAGACGGCCCUAUGGGUUGUAAACUGCUUUUAUACAGGAAGAACACCACCCACGUGUGGGUGACUGACGGUACUGUAAGAAUAAGGACCGGCUAACUCCGUGCCAGCAGCCGUGGUAAUACGGAGGGUCCAAGCGUUAUCCGGAAUCAUUGGGUUUAAAGGGUCCGUAGGCGGGCUAAUAAGUCAGAGGUGAAAGUUUGCAGCUCAACUGUAAAUUGCCUUUGAUACUGUUUAGUCUUGAGUUAU
rnacentral:rRNA from 1 species